rnacentral:tRNA from 1 species
GGAGUGUUAGCUCAAUUGGUUAGAGCACCCGCCUGUCACGCGGGAGGUUGAGGGUUCGAGUCCCUUACACUCCGCCA